UCCACCCAUCUCAACAGUAUUAGGAGGUCUCUGCCUGUUUCCUCUGUCAAUCUGCCUUUGUCGUGGGUCUGUAGCCUGAGGAAGAAAAAGCAGAUCCAAAAAAGGAUCUUAAAAUAUUCGGUGCUCGCUUGCUUCUUCUUUUUUUUCUUUUUUAAGACAAGGUGCUUAAUGUACAAGGUUUUGUAAAAAAAAAAAAAAAAAGAAAGAAACAGCAAGCUGGAACAACAGAAACUAAACACCGUUCUUCAGAGGCUGGAGAAAUCUUCCAGAGGUGACGCAGCCAUAUGCCAGGAGGGCCACAAAGAAAGCGGUGGAGCUGAGGGCCUGCUCGCCCUGCCCCCGCUCCCGCCCCCAUGGACAACAGAUGCCCACCGCGUGUACAUCAAUUCUUCCUGGCCGGGAAUCUCCUAUCAAGACAGGAACAAGCCAGGAACCCACCCCAGCACGCUGUAUACCGCAGGGGCAGGGCCCAGGCUGUUUGAAAAGGGAGGGGAUUUUGUGGCUGCUGUCGUUGCAUUUUAGGCUACAGAGGCCAAGAUGCAGGGAGGGACACCUCCACAAAGGUCUAGCACUCAGGACAACAGGCUGGGCCUCACCAGAAGGGAGGGGCCCCCUCUUCCUGGGGGUGGAACUGGGUAUCGGGAGACCAAAGAGAGGGCGGGUGAGGGGGGCGGUGGGGGACGCGGACAGGAGGCCUGAGCUGAUCGGACUGUGCUCUCCCUCCCUCCCGGCAGUGUGGGCAGGGGCCCCCCACCGCCAUCCAUGAAGGAAUGCUGUCUGUGUCCGUGGGUGCUGCUUUGCGGAGGGAAGACAAGCAGGACAACGAGUUUGUGGCGGAUCUCCCAAACAGCUCACUUCCCAAGCGGACGAGGAAAUAAAAUACAGCGCUGGUUCGCGUGGUGGAUUUUAA